UCUUUGGUGACAUUCUGGUCAUCUGACUCAAAAUGAUAGGUCAGUAUUAUAUUAUGACAUACCAAGUUUACAUGUAGUGAGUAAAACGUAAUCUGACCACAUUGAUGACAACAUUAUUCACAAGUCGAUUACCAUUUUGAUCAUUGUCAUUAACCAGCCAAGAUGUCUCCGUAGAUGUAUCAUUAAAUGCUGAGUCAGAAUGCGCUAAUGUUGUAUAGGCGGAGCUAGUUGGGUUGUCUGGUUAAACAUGGUUAAUAAAAUAUAACCAAAAAUUAAUAGUUAAGAAAUGACUUGAAGAUAAUAUUGAUAAUGGUUAGAACAUUUGAUUCUUACCAGAUACAAUAGUGGCGCGGAGUUUAUCUUCUUCGAGAGCACGCUCUUUUUUACUACGACAAGAAGCUCUCCUAAGGGCGUUUGCAUGAGCUCUUUUAUGAUCUUCUUUCAUUGUUGCGGCAUUAUCUUUGGUGACAUUCAGGUCAUCUGAUUGAAAAUGAUAGGUCAGUAUUAUACCAAGGGGAUGCCACGCAUGAAUAGUGAUAAACAAUGAGUAAAUCAUGUACCCGAGAUCACAAGUCUAGGUUGACGAACAUUCGUGAUAUCACCUAGGGCACGGCGUUCAACCGUGUGUCCAUCGACUAGUUUUUUUUUUCAAAACUGGUGUCUUGCUAAUGCGAUAAGAUUCACGCCUCCACGCGUUAUUAAGUUCCCUAUGGUCUACAAAAUGAAUUCAACAUAUGGUAGUUAGUGAAUAUCAACAGCCACUGCAUGUGGCAAAAUUUUGUCUACAACUCAUGGAGAUGACAUUGGCACAAAAUAUAAGAAAACAGUUCCACAAGUUAAAUGCCGCAAAUAUUAUUCAUCAACAUGUAGGUAAACAAAUUACCAGAUUUCGACAAGCAGGGCUGUUGAACCUCUAUAUCUAACACAAUGUCUUGGAUUUUUUUCAUAUGCUUAGCUGCACGACUUUGUGUUUGGUCAGGUUCCUUUGAUAUAUGACUUAGAUCGAUGGAUCUGAUGUCGUCUGCAACAUGUCAAAAUCAUUAAACACAAAGACCAUAAUGUUUGUCGCACCACCUGUAUAUCAGGUCAGAAUCGAUGUUAGAUAAGCAUCCAUGGGUAAUACCAGUUAGCUUUGUCAGACCAUCGUUAUCUUCGUUUGGAGGUUCACCGCCUAUAGGUUACCAAUAUGACAAAAUUGAUACAUGUUGUAAAUGAAACUGACCUUUAUUAAGUGCACUAUUGGAAAUUUAAAUAAGUAUGAGUUGGUACCAAUAGUAUUUCUGCCAGCUACAUUCGUGCGCCAAUCAAGACUUGGAUAUUUGGAACCCAACAAUGAAUCAUCAUGAUGGUCUUUAAUCCGUUGCGAACUUGUGCCACCUGUAGAGUUGUACCCAGUAAAAAAAGUAAAUCAAAUAUAUUAAGGUAUUUGUAAUGCGGCUGAGCGAGUACCACCUUCAUUUAUACUAAAAUCCAAAUUCUUUAUGUUCGGAUCGGUGAAUAAAGCCUCAUUAUGCUCUCCAUCCGGAAACGACAAUGUUAAAUCUGUAGAGUAAUAACCAUCAUGAAUAUAAGGACAAUGAUAUAAACGUCGUAUCUACAUGGCAACAUUACCAACAAUAUUCACACAAGCAAUAUCCCCACCAUUUUGAACUAUGGGUAAGAUGCUUGCAUUGUUAUCUUCAACUAUUGUAGAGCUUGUAAGGCCUGAAAAGCAUUAUGAUGUAGUUUUGUGAAUAUCAGAAAUGCACAGAACUCAUGUGUAGCACAUUAUGAUAGCUAGAAGCAUGCCCGUAUAAUUAACUUCAACAGUUAUCAAGCUUUUAAGGCCUGCAAAAGAUGAUAAUAAAAGCUUGCGAAUAACAUAGAAAUGCAGCAUACCCGUAGUAACGCCCUCUUCUGGUUGCUGAUCAACCGCCUUGCUUCUUGAAUUACCCAUAAGGACCUAUGCAAUUACACACAACUUACAAUUAAUGACCUCUGCCUGCUGUGAAGUAAGGAUGAGGAUUCAUUUGACUGCUCGUGCGUUGACAAUAUAGUAGCCGUCCUCAAAAUAAAAUAUAGGGAUUACUGAUGUUCUAUAUCAUUUAACUGCUGUAGUGGCAAUGACAAUAUGGUAAUCAUUUAUGGUGUGCUGGCAUGAGUCUAUAGAAUCAUUGUGUUCUCAGCAUAGCAAUUGCCACCAGAGCAUUGUAAUUACUGAACAGGUAGUGUGCAUUGUCUAAAGAGUAUGAGAACAAUAUAGUUGGUAGUUGGUACGUCUGCAAUGUCAGGCCAAGUUUUAUUUCCCAUUCAAAAUGGUGGUUCAUUUGGUAGGAUCAAGUUUUUUCACCUUAUUAUUGUUUAUGGUCAGACUGUAGGUGGACUGAAUCAAUUUCAACCAUCUGAUGAACAUCUGGCAUACAAACAUGACUAUUUCCUGUUGGCAUAGAAACCUUAACCGUUGCAUGGAAACUAUCGGGCAAGUGUCAUAACUACCUUAUGUUUGUGUCACUUUUUGCAUGUGAUGCUGUUUCGGGGCUGGAAACUGGAGAUCCUCUGAAGUUGUGAGCUGCAAACUCGAUGCACUUGCCAGAUGCUGCUGCUGAUGACACCGUACUCGAGGGCCGUCACCAGCCCCAAACUUAAAUGACUGUUGCCACUUGAUGCUUAUACUGACACUGGCAAUGAGAUGAUUCACCACCUGCACGAAUUAGGGGCUGACAAAGUGAGAAAAACAGAUCCUCUGAAGUUGUGAGCUGCAAACUCGAUGCACUUGCCAGAUGCUGCUGCUGAUGACACCGUCCCGGAGGGCCGUCACCAGCCCCACCUCCCUGUCAGUUAUGUGCACGUAAAAAAAAUGACCUUUGCCACUUGAUGCUUAUACUGACACCGGCAAUGAGAUGAUUCACCGCCUGCAAGAAUUAGGGGCUGACAAAAUGAGAACAACAGGUUCUCAAAUCUUGCACAGUACGACCAUGGUCCUGAUCCGAGAUCACAAUGUCAGUUUUUGUUCAGUAUGACCACGGUACAGAUCAGAGAUCAAGAGUUGUAGAAGUUAGCAGUAGAAAUUGAAAAGGUUAGAAUACAUAAACGCCCGACCUAAAUUUGCAACCGCCGGUCCAGAUAGUGUCCGGCGGCGAUUGGAUCCGCUGACCAGCGACGGAUCCGCUGAACAAAUAUCUUUGCACUCGGACGGCGGCGUCGCCGGUUUUAACAGGCCGUGAAGGAGGUCUACGGUUUCAGCGUUCGUGACGGCGACCAAGGGUUUGAACGGCGGGGACGGAAGAUGCGUGUAGAAAGGGUUUGGCGGCGGCGACUCGCAAUGGCAUCGAGGGCACGACGAUUUCCCGGUCUUAGAGGUUCUGUUUCAGUACGAUCAGAUGUAAUUUCGUAGGUUAACCGUGUUAAAUCGUUUUAGGUCGUUUUUCCAGC